UACAGAGGGUGCAAGCGUUGUUCGGAAUCACUGGGCGUAAAGAGUUCGUAGGUGGACUUAUUAGUACAGGGUUAAAUACCGGGGCCUAACCCCGGACCUGCUUUGUAAACGGUAAGUCUAGAGUACUAGAGAGGAUAGCGGAAUUCCUGGUGUAGAGGUGAAAUUCGUAGAUAUCAGGAGGAACAUCUGAGGCGAAGGCGGCUAUCUGGCUAGGCACUGACACUAAAGAACGAAAGCAUGGGGAUCAAACAGG
rnacentral:rRNA from 1 species